CCACCUUCAAGCUUUGCCGUUUUCGAUAUCAACUCCAUCCAAGAGCCAUGGCUUUCUGUCGAUAAUACUGAUCAAGAAAAACCAGAAAAGCCAACCCAUGUCCCUGCUCCCUUACUCGAGAAGCUCAACAAGUUGGAAACUGAUACUCCUCAUCCUUGGGAGGAGGUUAGCAAAGCCCUAGAAGACCUCAAGCCCACCCUCACUAACAAAAAUUCUAUUUCUCCACCACCGGCGAAAGUCAGCAGUACCAUCACCACCACGACUUCUGCCUUGGCCGCAGAAAAGAAACAACCUCC
rnacentral:lncRNA from 1 species